rnacentral:misc_RNA from 1 species
AUAUAUUUCAGGUUAAAUAUGAAGGCAGUGUGACGUCAUCUUGUACACAAACUCGGUCUGUCUGGGUGGAAUAAUUUCUCUUGGCUGUUGACGAAGACCACCACCACGACAUAAAGGUGUGAGUGGAUGGAAAGGAACAUUAUGGUAGCAUCAGGAGGCCAUCCCACACAAGAGGCAGAACAAUUCCUCACAACUGUACAAUAAGUCAGUACAGUACUGUAUUAGUGAACAUCUUCAGGAGAACAUUGUAAGCAAGAUUAAGAUGGCAGCAGGGGUGACUGAGAGAGAACCCAAUGAAAAUGUUGUCUUUAUAUGG